rnacentral:rRNA from 1 species
UACGGGGGGGGCAAGCGUUGUUCGGAAUUACUGGGCGUAAAGGGCUCGUAGGCGGCCAACUAAGUCGGAUGUGAAAUCCCCAAGCUUAACUUGGGAACUGCAUCCGAUACUGGAUGGCUUGAAUCUGGGAGAGGGAUGCAGAAUUCCAGGUGUAGCGGUGAAAUGCGCAGAUAUCAGGAAGAACACCAAUGGCGAAGGCAGCUCUCUGGGACGGUACUGACGCUGAGACGCGAAAGCGUGGGGAGCGAACAGG